UACAGAGGUCUCAAGCGUUGUUCGGAUUCAUUGGGCGUAAAGGGUGCGUAGGUGGCGCCGUAAGUCAGGUGUGAAAUUUCGGAGCUUAACUCCGAAACUGCAUUCGAUACUGCCGUGCUUGAGGACUGGAGAGGAGACUGGAAUUUACGGUGUAGCAGUGAAAUGCGUAGAGAUCGUAAGGAAGACCAGUGGCGAAGGCGGGUCUCUGGACAGUUCCUGACACUGAGGCACGAAGGCCAGGGGAGCAAACGGG
rnacentral:rRNA from 1 species